UAGUUAUGAAAACAUAAGCAACAUAAAUACAGUCGCAUGCAGUAAUAUCAAGCAGGAACUACCAUACUAAAACACUAAUCACCUAUGAGCCCCUAACAUACAAUCUUGAUUCUAGACCUCCAGACUCUCCUAUCAAGAGUCAUGUCCUCGGAAACUUGCAUUCUGGCCAUGUCCUGCCUAAUCACCUCUCUCCAAUGCUUCUUAGGCCUCCCUCUCCCUCGCCGACCACCAACAAUCUCCAACAGCUCGCAGCUCCUCACCGGGGC
rnacentral:lncRNA from 1 species